AUAAAUAAACAAGGACGAGUGGAAGGAUCCCCUUGGUUAUCAAGGAAAGGCAAUUGGUCAAAGGUUUAAACGUUACCUUAUCAUGAAUCUCUGGUUUUUAGUUUUUCGUUGUCGUCGUUGUUUGGAAGAAAUGUAAUAUUCGUCACUCCCUGUGCUACAUGUUUAUUUUCUACUGCCAUACCAAUUUUGUUCGUUAGUAGUAGCAAUUCUGGAUCACCGAGGACUUGAACAGUGGAAGGUGUGGAAAUGUGGUUGACUCUGAUUUCCUUUUAGCAGACAGAUUUAUUAAACAGUUCAUUCCUUCAGUUACUCACGUAGCAGCUAAGAGGCUCAAAACCGUGUGAAGGAAGCAGUUGAUGCUGUGAGCUAAAGUUUCUUUAGAGUUUACUCCCCCAUAAAUUAUGAUGGGGGAGUAUAGAAUCUAUAAGUAAGUCCAAUUGUGUUUUCAGGUAAAGUAGUAUGAAAAUCAUACUAGUAAUUUAAACUUUUAUUAAAGGGGUACCUAGAUAAAAACUAUGAGACAAAUAACUAUUAGUGUGAUUUUUUUUUUAUUACUGUCAUUUAAAAACUAAAAUGGCCUAGUAGGUCAGGAUUUUGGUGAAAACCUAAAGCCCAAUUCCUUGAUCCUCUUGUUCAUUUUGCACUCACAUUUUUCUCUUAAGCUAAAACAGACUCAUGGUAGCAUUUUUUAAUUGAACUUAGUAAACCACUAUUGAUAAGCUGCGUGAGGGCAUGUACCAGUGAUUCUUCAGUUACGUUUCUCUAAACUGGUAGUCUAUAUGCUUUAUGUAGUAACAUUUCAUUAGGCACAAAGCCUUUUCUCAGAAGCCACAUUUUAUAGAGGAGAGGAAAUGCAUUAGCAUCCUUUGAACAUCAGAAUUGGUUAUCUUCAGCUUGGGUAAAUAUAGUCUUAUACUGCAAUGUUUUCAUCAUAAUUUUUGUACUGAAAAAAAAAAAGGGAUCGAGAUAAUCUCACUACUUUAUGGGUUUUUCCUCUUUCCCAAAGAGAUGAGAAAGUUUAAACUCUAAAAUUUUACCGUGCUAUUCAAUGUGCUCAUAUGAAGGAAGAGCAUUGAGAAUAAAAAUAGAUUUCAGACCUUUGGACAUCGGAUAAAUUCAUAUGUAGGUAAAUGUAGUGGAAUAAUUCAAGAGUGUAUACUUCAAAUGUGUAACGUAUUCAAAUUUAAGGUAUUUGUUACAUGAGAUCAUAAGUCCAGACCUUAUUAUUUAUUUAUUUUUAAAUUUUUAUUGGCGUAUAGUUGAUUUACAAUGUGUUAGUUUCAGGUGUACAGCAAAGUGAAUCAGUUAUACAUAUAUCCACUCUUUUUUUAGUGUUUAUUUCUUUUGACAUCCCUAGAGUGUCUAUAACUAUCUCAAAGAGGCACUGAGAAACUAGCUGGCAUUUCAUUCAGUUUCAUUCCCCAGAUGUACUAAGUGCAAUGGGCAUGGGCUCUAUUAUGUUCCCUCAUGAGUCUCCUGGUUUCCAGCCCAGUACCUAGCAGAGUAAAUGUUCAGUAAAUACUCACUGAAUGAAGAAAUUUUUUUAAAAAAAUAAGGCAUCUAAUUAUUAUUUAACUUUGCAUACCUUUUAUUGAAUGGGUCAUAUCUUUUUUUUAAAUAUAAAUUUAUUUUAUUUAUUUUAUUUUUGGCUGCGUUGGGUUUUUGUUGCUGCAUGCGGGCUUUUCUCUGGUUCCGGCAAGUGGGGGCUACACUUCGUUGCAGUGCGCGGGCUUCUCAUUGUGGUGGCUUCUGUUGUUUGGGACCACGGGCCCUAGGCACGUGGGCUUCAGUAGUUGUGGCACACGGGCUCAGUAGUUGUGGCUCAUGGGCUCUAGGGCACAGGCUCAGUAGUUGUGGUGCACGGGCUUAGUUGCUCCAUGGCAUGUGGGAUCUUCCUGGACCAGGGCUCGAACCCGUGUUCCCUGCAUUGGCAGGUGGAUUCUUAACCACUGCGCCACCAGGGAAGCCCCUGAAGGAAGAAAUUGAAGGGAAGUAUGAGCUUGGGAAUAUUUAGUUGGUGGAUGUGAAAAUUAAAUAAAGAUGAUUUGACCCUACAAUCACUGGGAAUCAUCACUGCCAAAGUAAUUCUGAGCAUUUUAAACUGAAGUAGUAUUAUAAAAAGGGUAUUAAAGUAUUGAAUUCUAUAAUGGGAAAAAAAAGGUUUUGAAACCAAGAAUUAGAAUUUAUUAAUUUUAUCUUUGUGUUGUCUUCCAAAUCUUGAGGCCUCAGCUCAGAAAGAUUGUUUAAAAGUAGGACUUCAGGGCUUCCCUGGUGGCACAGUGGUUAGGAGUCCACCUGCCGAUGCAGGGGUACGCGGGUUCAUGCCCCGGUCCGGGAAGAUCCCUCAUUACGCGGAGCGACUGGGCCCGUCAGCCAUGCCCGCUGAGCCUGUGCGUCCGGAGCCUGUGCUCCGCAACGGGAGAGGCCACAACAGUGAGAGGCCCGAGUACCGGGAAAAAAAAAAAAAAAGUAGAACUUCACUAAUUUGAAGUGAUUUUGAAGGUGUUGCCAUAUCCAAAGGGAGUUGCUCUGACUUGCUUUAGGGGUAACAUCCAACCCAAGUCCAGUCUGCAGCAAUUCCUAGUUUUGCUAUGUUUUCUUUCUGUGGCUUGGUUGGGGAAGAAAUGUUGCACAGAUUUCAAGCAUGCUUUAGGUCUGUUGUGUUCAGUAGUCCUGGCUGCAUGCUUAUGCCAUUGGUAUGGGGCCUGGGCAAGUAGCAUGAAUCAGAUCAAAACAGAUAUAUUGGGAGAAAAAUCAGUGUAUUUCUUCCUACUGUAAAUUAGGCCAGUGGCGAUUAUUCUAUGAGUAAUGUUCAGAGAGUUCACGGUCAUCAGAUUAUUCGUAGUAAAACGUUUUCUAGGCUGCUUUCUCACAAGUGAAUUUUCUAAAUAAUUGAACAGUCCAUUUAUGUGUAAAAUAAAAAAUAGAAAGACUGCUUUUGAUAAAAUUCUUUAAAAAGUAAUCUAUGGGGCUUCCCUGGUGGCUCAGUGGUUAAGAAUCCACCUGCCAAUGCAGGGAGCACGGGUUCGAGCCCUAGUCCGGGAAGAUUAUACGUGCCGCGGAGCAACUAAGCCCGUGCGCUACAACUACUGAGCCUGCGCUCUAGAGCUCAUGUGCCUAGAGCCUGAGCUCUGCAACAAGAGAAGCCACCGCAAUGAGAAGCCUGCACACCGCAGCAAAGGGUAGCCCCUGCUCACCGCAACUAGAGAAAAGCCUGGGUGCAGCAACAAAGACCCAGUGCAGCCAAAAAUAAAGUAAAUAAAAUAAAUAAAUUUAAAAAACCACUAUUCACUUUAUAGCAGUAUACCAUAUAUACUCAAUAUUUUUUUAAAAAAGGAAUCUAUAGUACACUUACUUGCCUUUGUAAAAUAACAAUACAGUUUAAUCUUCCCUUAAUGACUGAGGGGCCUCAUGAUGGCAUGGGUCAAUGGCCGUGAAACCUUGGCAGAUUGCUGAGAUGUGACAGUCCCUUUGUACUUUAAAGGCUCUCAGAGAGUUGGGACUUUUAUCUUUGUGUUUUAUUCUUUCCUGUCUCCUCCCUCACUUUCUGAUUGUUCCUCUCACCACUAUCUCUUUCCAGCCUUAAUUCUCCAUCAUAAUUUCCUAUGUUGAAUUAGAGACACCGUCAAACAUGCUUGUCAGAAGUGACUCUAAGAUAAUAGAAUAUGGGUUUCUCAUUCGCGACCAGGAUGCUCUGCUAUGAGUAAUGUGCUUAAGCUUUAGUUUUUGGUCAACCAGAGAGCUUUUUGCCUUUGUCAUCUUCUUUGCAUUCUUUAGUGGUAUCCUGGACAUGCUGAAUUUGUCUGAUUAAGGGACUUGUGAAUGUGUGCAGUGGCACAUUAAAACAAAAAAACAAAACAAAACAACAUGGGUUAGUUGUCCUAAUCCUCAAAAUUGGAGUUGACUUGUCAUUGCCUGGUUAGUAUUUUGCUCCAUCUCUGGCAUAUGGAAUCCUUUAUAGCAAGUACCUGCCAUUGUCUUCCUUUUGCUUAUGCAUUUUUAUCGAUAGUGUUUAUGUUUCCUAAUGGUGUUUUUAAAAAAUAUAUCAAAGUUUUAACUUUUUAAA